GACGAACGCUGGCGGCGUGCUUAACACAUGCAAGUCGAACGGAAAGGCCCUGCUUUUGUGGGGUGCUCGAGUGGCGAACGGGUGAGUAACACGUGAGUAACCUGCCCUUGACUUUGGGAUAACUUCAGGAAACUGGGGCUAAUACCGGAUAGGAGCUCCUGCUGCAUGGUGGGGGUUGGAAAGUUUCGGCGGCUGGGGAUGGACUCGCGGCUUAUCAGCUUGUUGGUGGGGUAGUGGCUUACCAAGGCUUUGACGGGUAGCCGGCCUGAGAGGGUGACCGGCCACAUUGGGACUGAGAUACGGCCCAGACUCCUACGGGAGGCAGCAGUGGGGAAUAUUGCACAAUGGGCGGAAGCCUGAUGCAGCAACGCCGCGUGCGGGAUGACGGCCGUCGGGUUGUAAACCGCUUUCGCCUGUGACGAAGCGUGAGUGACGGUAAUGGGUAAAGAAGCACCGGCUAACUACGUG
rnacentral:rRNA from 1 species